rnacentral:sRNA from 1 species
CCUAGCACUGACGUACUAGGCUAAGCAUUGUGUCGCUACUCCGUAGCU